GAAGGCGAGGGAGGUGGUGGUGACUUAUAGAAAUAGGGUGGAGGGGUGAUGGAGAUGCGCGAGGUGGAGAUUUGUAAACAUAUGGAGGAGGGGGAAGGGGAUGGUGAGGUGGAGAUUGUACACAUAUGGAGGAGGAGGUGAGGAGAAGGAGGAGGAGGGACUUAUAAUAGUAUGGUGGUGGAGGAGAGGGGAUGGUGGACGGGGACUUAUAAACAUAUGGAGGAGGUGUGAAGGUGAUGGAGCGGUGGUGACUUGUAGACAUAUGGAGAGGUGGUGAAGGGGAAGGCGGUGGUGGUGACUUAUAGAUAUAUGGAGUGGUGGUGAAGGGAUGGUGGAGAGGAGACUUAUAUAUGUAUGGAGUGGUGGGGGAAGGUGAUGGCGGGGGGUGGGGAUUAUACGUAUGGAGGAGGAGGUGAAGGUGAAGGAGGAGGAGGAGACUUAUAAACAUACGGAGGUGGUGGGAUGGAGAUGGUGAGGUGGUGACUUGUAGACAAAUGGCGUGGAGGAGAGGGAGAUGGAGGGGUGGAGACUGUAACAUAUGGUGGUGGUGGUGAAGGAAUGGUGGAGGAGGGACUAUAAACAUAAGGAGGAGGUGGGGAAUAUGAUGGGGGUGGAGACUUAUAAUAUAUGGAGGAGUGGUGAUGGAUUGGGGGUGGCGACUUGUAGACAUAUGUGGCGGAGGUGAAGGGAAGGAGGUGUGUGACUUAUAGACAUAUGGUGGAGUGGCGAGGAGAUGGUGGAGGAGGUGACUUGUAGAUAUAUGGAGGUGGUAUGGGGAGGGUGUGUGGACUCUUGUAAACAUAUGCGAGGAGGUGAAGAGAUGGAGGAGGUGGUGACUUGUAAAUAUAUGGAGGAGGAGGAGGGAGAUGGAGGUGGUGAGACUUAUAACAAUAUGGGGGGGUGGUGAAGGAGAUGGUGGAGGAGGAGACUUGUAAACAUAUGGAGGCGGUGUGAUGAGGUGUGGUGGACUCUUAUAGAUAUAUGGUGGGGGAGGUGAAGGAGAUGGAGGAGGUGGUGACUUGUAGAUAUAUGGAGGUGGAGGUGAAGGGAUGGAGUGUGGUGAGUUGUAAACUAUGUGGAGGAGAGGAGAUGGAGUGAGAGACUUGUAGAAAUAAGGUGGUGGUGUGAUGGAGAUGGUGGAGGGAGAUUUGUAGUAAUAUGGAGGAAAUUUGUCGACAUAAGGAGAUGAUGGGGGUGGAGAUUGUAGUAAUAGUGGUUGUCGUCCUGAUUUGGAGGUGUUGGAUAGUAAGGCUUAUCAUCAUCCGCAACAACAGUGCUAGCAAUUAAGCAUACGCAAUUGCAUAGAAGAGUUGAGGCCAAUGCCUCAACCCAAGUGAGCUUCCCAUUCUGUAAGUUAUGUAUUUUUGUAAUCAAUUUUUUGGAAGAAUGUUGCUAGUUACUGUGAUUGUUUAAGUUUGUAUUGUAACUCUUUAUUUAUAGUGUUUGCCCAAUCAUAGAUUAUAGAUUUCUGAAUAUUUCAAAUACAUGGCUUAAUGAUUUAAGUU
rnacentral:lncRNA from 1 species